rnacentral:misc_RNA from 1 species
GAUGAAGAGCGUAGUGAAAUGCGAUAAGUAAUGUGAAUUGCAGAAUUCAGUGAAUCAUCGAAUCUUUGAACGCACAUUGCGCCCCCUGGUAUUCCGGGGGGCAUGCCUGUUCGAGCGUCAUUUCACCACUCAAGCCUCGCUUGGUAUUGGGCAACGCGGUCCACCGCGUGCCUCAAAUCGACCGGCUGGGUCUUCUGUCCCCUAAGCGUUGUGGAAACUAUUCGCUAAAGGGUGUUCGGGAGGCUACGCCGUAAAACAACCCCAUUUCUAAGGUUGACCUCGGAUCAGGUAGGGAUACCCGCUGAACUUAAGCAUAUCAAUAAGCGGAGGA